GGAGAGGUGCCAGAGCGGUUGAUCGGAGCUCCCUGCUAAGGAGUUGUCCCGGUUAAGCUGGGACCCAGGGUUCGAAUCCCUGCCUCUCCGCCA
rnacentral:tRNA from 1 species